UGUCUUUCAAAACUUGUUCUUUCUUCUUCCUAAGUUCAAUCAAAGGAAAAAUCCCUAAAGCCAUUUGCAAACAUUGUAUGAUGUUACUGAUGCAAUCAAACAGAAGGUUUUGAGAAAUCUUGUUUUGUGUUUAUCAAUUAUGGUGGGACACUAAUAUUGUUGCUUGACAUCUUUAUUUGGAAAAGGGGAAAUAAUUUUCAAAGCUCGGUGGUGGGGUUGGUAAAGGAGUUUAUUGAAGAAAGCGAUUUCUCUUGCAGGUCUACCAUUUGAGGAUGGCAACACUAUGAGAGCUAGGGCACUAGUGCAUAUGCUUAAACAAACUUUGCUAGAGGACAACAUUCUGUCAAGGCCGAGGCAAUACCAACAACCUUAUUUGAUGUCUCUAUAACCAACAAUGAUUUUCCUCCUCAAUUUGAUGCAACAGAAGGAAGUACUAUUAGUUCAAUAGAUGAAAUCUUUGUGAGUGUUAUUUUUUUCUCAUAUUUUUUAAUACUUUAUGGCUUUUUUAUUAUCUAGACUUAAUUAAGAAUGACAUUUCUAAUUUAGAGCCCUAGUUGGAAAGACUAUGCAUAUAUUAUUUAUACUGAAGCUGUGGACCUUUCUAGUAGUCAAAGGAGCACAGCUUCCCAAGUUCCUAAUGACAGACCUCCUGCUCUUUAAAUAAGCCUACUGUCCAGGAUCAAACCAAAAGAAUAAAGAUAACAAGAGCUCAAAGAAGAAAGGUGCCAUCUAGAUGCAACACACAAAGAAUACCAAGAAUUGAAUCUUCAGUUUUUUUGACAGUUUUAAAGUUGUAUAUGAUAGAAAUUAUUUUGUGUUUUGUAAGAUUAUCUAUCAACCAAAAAGUAGACAACAACAAUAUAUAUUAA